GACGAACGCUGGCGGCGUGCCUAACACAUGCAAGUCGAACGGAGAAUUUCAAUAAGCUUGCUUAGCGAAAUUUUUAGUGGCGGACGGGUGAGUAACGCGUGGGUAACCUACCCAUAAAGCCGGGACAACCCUUGGAAACGAGGGCUAAUACCGGAUAAUCUUAGAGAGUGGCAUCACUUUUUAAGGAAAGGUGGCCUCUGAGAAUGCUACCGAUUAUGGAUGGACCCGCGUCUGAUUAGCUAGUUGGUGGGGUAAAGGCCUACCAAGGCGACGAUCAGUAGCCGGCCUGAGAGGGUGAACGGCCACACUGGGACUGAGACACGGCCCAGACUCCUACGGGAGGCUG
rnacentral:rRNA from 1 species